AGCGAACGUUUGCGGCGGGCCUAACACAUGCAAGUCGAACGCACUAGCAAUAGUGAGUGGCGCACGGGUGCGUAACACGUGGGUAAUCAACCCUUCAGCUUGGGAUAACGACUUGAAAGGGUUGCUAAUACCGGAUACGGCGCGGGAGGCUUCGGCUUCUCACGAGAAAGCCUCGCAAGGGGCACUGAAGGACGAGCCUGCGGCCCAUCAGCUAGUUGGUGAGGUAAGAGCUCACCAAGGCGAAGACGGGUAACUGGUCUGAGAGGAUGAUCAGCCACACUGGAACUGAGACACGGUCCAGACUCCUACGGGAGGCAGCAGCGGGGAAUAUUGCGCAAUGGGCGAAAGCCUGACGCAGCCACGCCGCGUGAGCGAUGAAGGCCU
rnacentral:rRNA from 1 species